CCCACACUGAGGAGGAGAAGGUGGUGAUGCCAAGGGGUUAAGCCUGAAGGGCCAGCUCUGUUCACCACCUUCCCCCGUCUACUCUGCCCCGGAGGCUGACCUGAAGGAUUGCAUCAACUGGCCACCAUGCCCUUUGGUUUCUGGUUGGGUCAGCUGAAGGGAAGCCCAGCAGGAGACAGAAAGGAAGAGAGAAGUAGGGAAGAAGGUUCUAGGUACUACCAACCUCGCUGUUCCUAACUCUAGGACACUGAAGAGUCCUGUGUGGCUUCCCAUCACACCACACCUUCUCAUCUUAAUAAAUAGUCCUUUUAUUA